UUCACUUUCACCAAGACGCUCAAGCAGCUCAGAGGGAGCACAAUUGAUUCUGUUUUGACAGGUCCUGAUGUACGCUAAGCACUACCUUAUUUAUUUGUCAUGAUGUUCUUAGGAAGAAGGUGGGAUUGUGUACAUUUUACAGCUGGGAAAACGAAGCUGUCAGUGAUGAAGCGUGUGCCUAGAGUAUUUCAGUUAGAACGAAGGUGGGUAAGUGGGAGAACCAGACCCUGAGCCCAAGGCCCACGGUGUGGCCCUGGUACAAGUCCUUCUCUGACUGUGAGCUGGAUCACAACCACCUGAGCAUCAUCACCCUGGAGGAGGCCCCCUUCGUUAUGGUGGAAGACAUCAACCCGCUGACUGAGGCGUGUGUGAGGAACACGGUGCCGUGUCGGAAGUUCAUCAAAAUCAAACUGCACACACGGAGGAGAAGGCAGAAGCUUAGAGAAACACCAAGAAUAUCUCUGUUAUCUGUUCCAGCCCUGUCCAGGUUCUGACACCUC